GCCGGUUUAGCAUAGUGGUAUUGCACCAGUCUUGUAAACUGGAGGCCGGGAGUUCGAUCCUCCCAAUCGGCA
rnacentral:tRNA from 1 species